GGCAAACAGCUAGCGUCUCGGGCAAGAUGGUGGCCAGAGCUUUUGCCUCCCGCUUCCGAGGCUCCCGACGCUUUUUGAGUGGCUUCGUGGCUGGAGCCGUCGCGGGCGCUGUGGGAACCGGGCUAACUGUCGUGCAGUUCCUCCGGAGUCAGGACGCUGAGCCAGCGUUGGCGGUGACGGAGCCGGACGGUUCUUCAGAAAGGGCUCUCUUAGAACAAUUUGGAUUCCCUUUAACUGGAACAGAGACGAGGUGCUACACUAACCAUGCCUUGUCUUAUGAUCAGUCAAAGCGGGUGCCUAGAUGGGUUCUUGAACAUAUAUCCAAGAGCAAGAUAACGGGUGAUGCAGACAGAAAACAUUGUAAAUUCAAGCCAGAUCCCAACAUCCCUCCAACCUUCAGUGCCUUCAACGAGGACUAUGUUGGCAGUGGGUGGUCACGAGGCCACAUGGCUCCAGCAGGAGAUAACAAAUUCUCAUCUAAAGCCAUGGCUGAAACCUUUUACCUUUCUAAUAUCGUGCCUCAGAAUUUUGAUAAUAAUGCUGGUUAUUGGAACAGAAUGGAAAUGUACUGUCGAGAACUGACAGAGAGGUUUGAGGACGUCUGGAUAGUAUCUGGACCGCUGACCUUACCUCAGACUGGAAGCAAUGGAAGGAAAACGGUUAGUUACCAGGUGAUCGGCGAGGACAAUGUUGCGGUGCCCUCCCACCUCUACAAGGUGAUCCUGGCGCGCAGAAACCCGAGGUCUGCUGAGCCCCUGGCACUAGGGGCCUUCGUGGUGCCCAACAAGGCCAUUGGCUUCCAGCCCCAAUUAAGUGAGUUCCAGGUGAGCCUGCAGGAGCUGGAGAAGUUGUCAGGACUGGUGUUUUUCCCUCAUCUGGAUAGGACUAGUGACAUCAAGAACAUCUGCUCGGUGGACACCUGUAAGCUCCUGGAUUUCAGGGAGUUCACUCUGUACCUGAGUACAAGAAAGAUUGAGGGAGCCCGAUCGGUACUCAGACUGGAAAAGGUCAUGGAAAAUUUGCAGAACGCAGGCAUUGAACCUGAUGAGGAGUUCAUGACUCGCUACAAGAAGAAGCUGGAAGAACUCAAAGCUCAGGAGCAGUCAGGAGUCCUGGAGAGAAAGUCCUCGUAGUUCACGUCUCAGAAGCGUGAUGUCAUCUGUCAUGAAGCAGCUACCCUCUGAGGGAAAUACCACUAUCCUCAUUUUACCCUUGAGGAAAUCGAGGCUUAGAGAGCUGAAGUAUUUUGCCCAAGGUUCAUCUUCCCAAAGAAGUAAUCCACAAGGAAUGAGGCAUAUAACAUGGGGUACGUUAAAAUCUUCCCUGACACAGAGGCUCAAGGACAUACCUCCGUGGGUGUCUGUGAUCCUGGGGCUUGCUUGGUAAGAGGGGUCUGGUUUCUUGUCUGCAGUCGAGCCAUAGGGACUUGAAUGUCCUCUGACUUGAACUCUCCUUAGUUCUUUGGGAAGAAACAGUCACAGGUAUUUGAAUGUUAGAGGACAGUGCUUCCUGGGGUUUAUCUGAGUCUCUGCUGGCCUUCAGAAAUGCAGUUCUUCUAGUGCCUGGCUGGUGCCAAAUCGAUGUGUUCCUUGCUUUCCAGAUGGGCUUUUUGUGAAUCUCUGCCCACAGAUUCACCAGCUCAUGGCUUGCUCGCCUUUGUGCCUGCCUGUCUACCUGGUUGGCCCAAAGACCCAAAGACAGUUAGUUACCUCUGGGGGAAACAGUGUCUGUUUUUCUGAGCCAGAUCUCUAGAUUUGGGUUUACGUGGAAUCCUUUCAUGGGCUGUCAUAAGUGCAGACAGUAAUAUAUCUUCAAAUAGAGCAUAGGAACUUGUCUGUGUCCUGUCAGUACUGUCUUUCCAAGUGGUGUUACCAGAACAGUUUUUGUGGUGUUUUUGUGUUUGUCUCUAACAGAAAUGCCAAGGUGUUAAGAUAAAGGUAAGAUGAGAUGGUUGAUCUUGUUCUGCUUUAUUCGGGUAAACAAGAAAGAAGUUGGGGGGUCAGAACACUUCAGCCCGGUUAAUGCCGGCCUGUUUUAUCCCACUGUUCCCCAUUAGCUUGUGCCAGUCUCUUUCUUCUCAAGGAGAAAGAGCCCAAAUGUCACUGUGACCAAAAACAUCUGUUACUUUUUCUCCUUCUUGAAGAGGUGACAGUGGGGUCUGGGUGUUCUUCCAGGAGCCCGAGGGCGGCUCUGUGGGAGAGGUCCUACCGCCCAUCUCCAGAGUAACAUCUUUAUUUCGAGACUUCAGGCUCUUUGGUCUAUGGAUUGAGACUGUUUCACCUAUAUCGUAUGCAGCAAAGGGGGACCUUACACAAGUGGCAAAGGACUUAGAAUAGAGCCCAGCAGGAGAUAGAGUCUGAUCUCAAGGGAAUGAAUGGCUUCCUACAGAGCUGGGCUCAGCCUGCAGCCCUGCUCUUGGAGUGACCAAUGUGAUCUAAGUAUAGAAACAGUGGGCUGGAGAGGAUAGAAAGUACGAUGGUCAUUGUUGCCUCAUUGCGAAAGUGACAUCCGAGGAAAGAGGGGCGCCAUGCACUCUCUGGGAGAAGACUGUGACGGAGUGGGAACAGCCACUGCUGAAGCCCUCAGGUGAGGCGUGCACGGCCUGGGCAGGAGCCAGCAGGGAGCUGGUGUGGCUGAAGUGGAGCAGGAGCUGGGGUUGUAGACGGGCUCAGACAGGCCCUGGGGAGCGGGGUGCAUUGGGGGGCUGCAGAGGGCUCAGGCUGUUCUCUGAGUGUGAUGGGGGCCACUCGGGGGUUCUGUGCAACUUGCCUUUUAAUAGACGCCACUGGCUGCUGUGUUGAGAAAGGUCUGGGCCAAGGACCAACCAGGAGGCCUUUGUAAGAAUCCAGGUAAGAGGCGUUGGUGGCUCAGACCAGCAUGGCGACGGUGGUGUUGAGGAGUGGUCUGACUUGGGAUAUAUUCUGAAGGCAGAGCCGGCAGGAUUUCCUGCUGGAUUGGAUGUGGGGUGUGUGAGAGAGAGGGGGUAGGGAUGAUGCCAGGGUUUUUGGCCUGAGCAGCUGGAGCUCCAGCUGAAAACCCCAUGGGGGCUGCUGACCGGUGUUACCUGUCCCCUGGGGCCUGUGGCUGAAGUCAAGACAGACAUGGGAGGGCUCGGCCCUGCUCCUGGCUCUGGGGCUCAGGGGAUGGGCUGCCUGUACUGGUUAUUCCAUUACCCUUUAUUUAUUGGCCUUAUUGGCUUUUGUCAUUUCCUCAUUGUCUCCUGUCUGGAGAGAAGACUAUAAAUGUGAUGGAUUGAUACAGGAUACAGGAGGCCCAAUUAUCUCUAUCGAGCCAGCCUCUCCUCUUGGUCAAGCCCUCCCCGUUCUCCAUCUUUGCAGCAUCUCCCAUUGCCUUGCAGGCAGAAGCAGCCUGGUCCCUGGCUGUCCAGGAAGAGGGAGUGCAGCCCAAGAGGCAGGUGCCUGGCAGCUGCCCGUGGAUGCCAGCCCCGUGAACUGGCCUGGGAGGAAGUGCCUGUCGGAGUGGUGAUUGUACGUGCUGGGCUUGGGCUUGGGCUUGGCCCUGGCCCGUCCCCUGCCCUCCAGGCUGACUUGGGACGCCCACAGGAGAGCGGCGCCAUGGGUGGGGGCCCCCGGGGUCCCUCUGGGAUCCCCCACAGGAUCCCCUGAGACAGAGCUUGGCAGCUGCCGGGCUUUGAGUGUCAUUUCUGAACCAAAUCCCUCGGCCCCCACCUCAGGCCUGUCUGCCUGCCUCUGUCCCUGGGAAUGUCCUGAGGCCCCUGGUCCAGGGUGGUUGGGACAGGAAGCCUGAGGUUCCUUCUUAGGAUUUCAGGCAUCUCCCUAUGGUCACGCCCCGCUCGCUCCCCAACACCGACCCUGGUUGCUGUGCCUUGAGUGUGCAUGUGUGUGAAUCCGCACCUGCCUCUCCAUGUAGGCGAGGAUCUCCUGUAGGUGGCGUCCUUCCAGAAGAACAGAGUGGAAGGUGGGGCUGUGGGUGAGAAUAGGAGCCAGGGACCUAAGAGGACAGAAGGGCAGGAAAGACUCAAAUGGAGGAGAGGAUCCAGGUGAACCCAGUGGACGGUGAACGGCUGGGUUGAGGGGCUGCUCUCUGUGCCAGGCACGGGGCGGGGGCCAGAGAGUGUGGUGCGAGCGGGCCGGCCUAGCCUUCCCCAGCCCUCAGGCAGCGCACAGGACGGUGAGCUGGAGGGGUGUGCAGGAGACACAGUCCUGCGGCUUCCCCAGCCCAUCCGCGGUGGCCUUUGGCACCUCCUAGCUCUCGGCCGCUGCCCGCUCUGUCUCCGCCUGUAGGAGUGAGUGCCUGUGCUGUCUCCCUGCCCCUCCCAGCCUCCCAGCACUGAGUCUCGUGGCCGUCAAGGCUGAGGUGGAAGAGUGGCUGGCACGGGGCAGGGAGCAGCCUGGCCCCAGGGUGAGAGCUGACGUCUGUCCAGGAGCAUCUCUCUCCCUGCCAAGGGCUGAGAUCCUGGGCUGCAUGCCUGCCUUCUGACACAGGAGCCGGCAUCCGCCCCUCAUGGAACCUGGACCCCAGGCUCACCCCAGUGGCCGGGUGACAGCUGUGGCGGUGUGGUGACCGCAAGGCCCACUCUUGCCUCCCUCCAGAUGCGCCUGACACCUCCCAGGCCACUUCAGGCGGCUACAGAGACCCACACAAGGGGCCCCACGCCCAGAAUCCAAGUUUUGGCUUCAAGAACAGUGAGGAGCUCCUGCACUGGCCCAUUCCAAGCAGUAGUGACCUGGAGCAUGUCAGAGGGGAGGCCUGGCCCUUUACUGCUUAUGGGCAAAUCCCAACCCUGGAAAACCACUUUGCUGAAGGUGCUAUUGUCCAGAGGUGGGGCAACCCUAAGGAAGAAGGAUGGAGGUGGGAACCUUCCCAGCAGAUGUGGAGACCAGGUGACUUUUCAAAGCUCUUCCGGCCCUGAGAGUCCACCACCCUUUGGGUGCACUGGGCUUGUUUUAGCUGUAGGAGGGCCCGCCUGGAUCUAGAGAUUGUGGUCCCGUGCAGAGGGCACCAGGCACUACAGGUCCAAGGGGGGCUUCAUUUGCUGGCAGAUCCUCCCCAGCUCCCUCAGCCCCAUGACAGUCCAGCCUUGGGACCCAAGCCUGCUCAGGCUCCAGGAAUGUGACACUAGCCCAGGUCACUGAGGCCUGAGGGGAGCAUGGUAGGCAUUUCUUUUUUUUUUUUUUUAAUUUUUGUUUUCUAUUGGAGUACAGUUGAUUUACAAUGUUGUGUGUUUUUAGGUGUUUGGCAACUUG